GACGAACGCUGGCGGCGUGCUUAACACAUGCAAGUCGAACGGAAAGGCCCUGCUUUUGUGGGGUGCUCGAGUGGCGAACGGGUGAGUAACACGUGAGUAACCUGCCCUUGACUUAGGGAUAACUUCAGGAAACUGGGGCUAAUACCGGAUAGGAGCUCCUGCUGCAUGGUGGGGGUUGGAAAGUUUCGGCGGUUGGGGAUGGACUCGCGGCUUAUCAGCUUGUUGGUGGGGUAGUGGCUUACCAAGGCUUUGACGGGUAGCCGGCCUGAGAGGGUGACCGGCCACAUUGGGACUGAGAUACGGCCCAGACUCCUACGGGAGGCAGCAGUGGGGAAUAUUGCACAAUGGGCGGAAGCCUGAUGCAGCAACGCCGCGUGCGGGAUGACGGCCUUCGGGUUGUAAACCGCUUUCGCCUGUGACGAAGCGUGAGUGACGGUAAUGGGUAAAGAAGCACCGGCUAACUACGUG
rnacentral:rRNA from 1 species